rnacentral:misc_RNA from 1 species
GAUGAAGAACGCAGCGAAGUGCGAUAUGUAAUGUGAAUUGCAGAAUUCCGUGGAUCAUCGAAUUUUUGAACGCAAAUUGCACUCUCUGGUAUUCCGGAGAGUAUGCCUGUUUGAGGGUCAGUAAAAUAAAAAUCGAUGUUGUUGUCAAUGAUAACGCGUCGGAACUGAGUCGUCUUACCUUCGGUUAAGUGACUUUAAAUUGUUACGCGAAUUCGAAACGUAUUUAAUGUUUAUGUACGUUUGCGAUAUUCCAAUAUACUAGGUGCGGUCAUUCACAUGAUUCGCGUCUAUAAUUUUCAUUUCUUGACCUCAAAUCAGGUAAGAGUACCCGCUGAACUUAAGCAUAUCAAUAAGCGGAGGA